GUAGGGAAUAUUGCGCAAUGGACGAAAGUCUGACGCAGCGACGCCGCGUGAGUGAUGAAGGCCUUAGGGUCGUAAAGCUCUGUUGAAUGGGAAGAAAAAAAUGACGGUACCAUUCGAGGAAGGACCGGCUAACUUCGUGCCAGCAGCCGCGGUAAUACGAGGGGUCCUAGCGUUGUUCGGAAUCAUUGGGCGUAAAGGGUGUGUAGGUGGCCAUGUAAGUCAGGGGUGAAAGCCCCGGGCUCAACCCGGGAAGUGCACUUGAUACUGCGUGGCUUGAGUACCGAAGAGGGUAGUGGAAUUCCAGGUGUAGUGGUGAAAUACGUAGAUAUCUGGAGGAACACCGGUGGCGAAGGCGGCUACCUGGUCGAGUACUGACACUGAGACACGAAAGCAUGGGGAUCAAACAGGAUUAGAUACCCUUGUAGUCC
rnacentral:rRNA from 1 species